AGCUUUGCGCAGUGGCAGUAUCGUAGCCAAUGAGGUUUAUCCGAGGCGCGAUUAUUGCUAAUUGAAAAAGAAAGAUGUGCACAUAUAUCUGUGGGUGUAUGUAUUAAAAUAAUCAUUAUCCUUGUAUUUUUGUUGUAUGAUGGUGC
rfam:Dipodomys ordii contig_41398, whole genome shotgun sequence.